GGGGGGGGGGGGCGGCGGGCGUGGCGCGUGCGAGUCGAGCGGGAGGGCCCGGCUUGUGUGGGGUGCUCGGGUGGCGCACGGGUGAGUAACACGUGAGUCACCUGCCCUUGACUUUGGGCUCACUUCAGGACACUGGGGCUCAUACCGGAUCGGAGCUCCUGCUGCAUGGUGGGGGUUGGAAAGUUUCGGCGGUUGGGGAUGGCCUCGCGGCUUCUCAGCUUGUUGGUGGGGUAGUGGCUUACCAAGGCCUUGACGGGUAGCCGGCCUGAGAGGGUGACCGGCCACAUUGGGACUGAGAUACGGGCCAGACUCCGACGGGAGGCAGCAGUGGGGAAUAUUGCACAAUGGGCGGAAGCCUGAUGCAGCAACGCCGCGUGCGGGAUGACGGCCUUCGGGUUGUAAACCGCUUUCGCCUGUGACGAAGCGUGAGUGACGGUAAUGGGUAAAGAAGCACCGGCUAACUACGUG
rnacentral:rRNA from 1 species